AGAGAGGGAAGAGCGAACAGCGGCGGCGCUGGCCUAAUCGCCGACAGAGGAAGAUGAGGUCAUGGUUCCAAAGCGUGGCGGGUCAGCGCUGCUGAUUCAUGGCUGUCGACUUCCUUGUUUGCUUUUGGCUGCGGGCGCGGCGCACCUUGCCUUCAUGUCACCAAGAAGGUCUGCAGUCCAUCAUCAUCCGACGUAAACUUCAGGGCGGCCACCAGAAAGAUCCUGAUAUGCCGCCAUUAUGCAGGAGCUCUCGGUUAUGGUUAGGAUAUUUUUUUUGGAUAAUCCUGGUCUGAAAGCUUGUGCAGAAGGAAAAAUCUGCUUCCCAAUCAGGCAGUUCAUCAACAACAAUGCCAAGAUUAAGUUCAACAAGGAAGCCAAACAACUUUUUACAGUGUGCACUCUCACAAGUAUUAUGGUUGGUAGUUGUUUCCCCUCUCCUGAUCGAAUGAAUUAUGGAUGUCUCUGGUGCUACUGAUAGAUUGGUUUGGUGGUUGGUGUGAUUUUUCAGGCCUGGUAAACAAGAAGGCAGCCAACUGCUCAUAAAGAGAAACCGAUAAGGAGAUCUGGACAUAUAAGGUGAUUAUCGCUUCUCUUUGAUUUCUUUCAGCAUGAACGUAGAUGUGCACAUUCAGAUAACUUUUAUUGUCCGUGUUGCUUGAAUACAAAUUUUAUUAUCUGUUCAUCUUUCUAACUUUAACCAGUGGUUUGGUUGUAGACCGACAACAAACUGUAGUACAAUAAAUCAGGCAAUUAAUUUAUUGUUUUACCGCAUUCUGGUAUCAACUACUAAGGAAAGUAGUACAAUAAACAAUUUUGGCUUGCAUCGAUUUUUCUUGUUACUAUGCCUUUUUUAAAAGGAUAGAUUAGUUUUAAAGUUAGUUUUAUUUUUCAUCAUUUGACAUGUUAAUAUUUUUGUCGUGUACUGAUAUACUCCCUCCAUCCCAAAAUAAGUGCCUUUGAUUUAAUAAACUUUACAAAGUUGUACUAAAUCAAAGAUGCUUAUUUUGGGAUGGAGGGAGUGCUUGCCUUGCAUUUUUCCUUUCUUUUGGUGCUGGUAAGAACAAAUGUCGGUUGAUAUGCUCUUGUUAUGGCCCUGCUAAGUACAAUUAACUUUGUUUUAAAAAAUCACACAUAUAUUCUGAUUCAUAAUAGCAUUGUAGGCAAAGGGUUGGAACACGCGGUGUUUAAAAUUUAGACAACAAUUUUCAGUAUAGUAUUCCGAGGACUACUAGAUGGUUUAAGGUGGCAGCUUCAGAUCCCAAAAAUGUGUGUGAGGAGUCUCCAGACGCGCGCUACAGGCUACAUCCUUAGGUUUGGUCGUCUCUUCUAGCUUAAUCGUGUUUAGACCAUUCCAUUAGUGGUACUCCCUCCGUUCGUUUUUAUAAGGCAUUUAAGGCAGCUGGUUUUGAACUGUUUAGAACACUGUGUGAACAGGCUUGAACGUCUUAUAUAAGUGAACAGAGGGAGUAGUAGUUAUCACGAGGAAUCCCUCAUAUCUGGAUUGAGAAUUUGCUACUAUGAGAUUUUCAUCCGUGCCGUGCUCUGCUCAAUUGGCAUAUUAGGCAACAUGUACAUGGCCAAAAAAGCGCUGACCACCGAAUCCCGUCCUCGAGCAGGCUUAGGAAUUGAAGAUACCUAGACCCCCAUGAGGUGGGUAUCAUCGGGUAAAGCUAUGUUAUGAACAGCGACAACUCAUAUGAGGAUGCCGAGGAGAUCAAUUGGAUUCCUUUAUUGUUAUUGUUGCACGACAAUAUCUGUUAUUGUCGCUAUUGGUAGAAAAAAUAUCCCAAUGUACACAAUGUAUUUGCCAAUGUAACAUCAUGAUUAAUCUCAAUCUGGGACAAUGCAUUAUUUUCUAAAUAUAGUCAAACAUCACCGGAUAUAUACUUUGAACAAUCAAAGGAACAUGCUACCAGUAGGAAGAAAACAUGCUUGCAUUUUCUUAGAUGGUAUAUAGGACCUGAAUACUAAUUGUUGGACUGCCGACGUACUAUGUAUAUUGUAACAGAACUACGUGGAUGAUAAUGUCAUUAGAAAAACUUGAAAGAAUUACGGUGGCUGUUAGUUUGCUCGAAGUGAGUAUACACUACAAUGCUUCUCAUAGCUUUAUACUUCUAUGAUGCAAACUUAUGUAUUCUGGAGUUUGUUUGUUUUUUUGCUAGGGAACUUUGAAGCAUGUGGUUGAAGUAAAUCUACAUUCUGAGAAAGAAUUUGCAUAUUCAGGAGAAGGACUGCAAACAUGGUGCUUGCUUUGUUAAGAUUUUUAUGUUCUCAAGGAUGUUAAAGGGUUCCUCCUGAGAAUCAAGAGGACAAGCUUGAACUCAAGCUGCCUCUUCACACAAAAGUGCUUGAACGUAAGAUGCUCCUCCCGAGUCAUUUGACAGAUAUAGAAAUAAGAUUUUAUGAGAAGUAACCUGAAGGUCAGAUGUGUUUUGUAGUAACUGUACCUCUUCUGUUAUCUUUUUUUCUUUAUGAUUGGGAGUAGUAUAUGUUGUUUUAGAGGGUCUAUUUUUCAGAAAAUAAGAUUCUGUUCUUUUGUUUCAGUACUCAACGUAAUUCAUGUUUCCUUUCAGUUA